UACGUAGGGGGCGAGCGUUGUCCGGAAUUAUUGGGCGUAAAGAGCGUGUAGGCGGUUCGGUAAGUCUGCCGUGAAAACCUGGGGCUCAACCCUGGGCGUGCGGUGGAUACUGCAUGGCUAGAGGGUGGUAGAGGCGAGUGGAAUUCCUGGUGUAGCGGUGGAAUGCGCAGAUAUCAGGAGGAACACCAACGGCGAAGGCAGCUCGCUGGGACGGUACUGACACUGAGACGCGAAAGCGUGGGGAGCAAACAGG
rnacentral:rRNA from 1 species